AGCGAACGCUGGCGGCAGGCCUAUCACAUGCAAGUCGAACGAAGUCUUCGGACUUAGUGGCGGACGGGUGAGUAACACGUGGGAACGUGCCUUUAGGUUCGGAAUAACUCAGGGAAACUUGUGCUAAUACCGAAUGUGCCCUUCGGGGGAAAGAUUUAUCGCCUUUAGAGCGGCCCGCGUCUGAUUAGCUAGUUGGUGAGGUAAAGGCUCACCAAGGCGACGAUCAGUAGCUGGUCUGAGAGGAUGAUCAGCCACAUUGGGACUGAGACACGGCCCAAACUCCUACGGGAGGCAGCAGUGGGGAAUCUUGCGCAAUGGGCGAAAGCCUGACGCAGCCAUGCCGCGUGAAUGAUGAAGGUCUUAGGAUUGUAAAAUUCUUUCACCGGGGACGAUAAUGACGGUACCCGGAGAAGAAGCCCCGGCUAACUUCGUGCCAGCAGCCGCGGUAAAAC
rnacentral:rRNA from 1 species